AGAGAAGAUCGAGCUGAGGGCACAGCUGGCUCGACAAUCAGCUUCUGAUAAACGUCUGAGUGAAAAGAAUGUCAAACCGAUGGCACAGCUGGCACUAAAAUCAGGAGCCAUAAGGAAGAAUCCUUCCAACCGGGAUGCCACUGACAAGGCUGUCCAGAACCAGAUCCCCAGAUACCAGAAAGAGGCAGCUGACCGUGCAGGUGGGGUAAGAUGUCGCAGCGGUACAAGGGACCUGCCGUGAAUAUGAAUGACCUCUCCAGCACGACCAAUAUUGCUGCUAAGCUGCAAUACUAUAUUUGGCGAUGAUGGGACAAGGAGAGCUGGACAAAGUGACCGGGACUCUCUGGAGCCGGUGGUAGCAGCUGAGGAGGUUUGGUUUGGGUUAUUUUCACAUGAGAGUGACUUUGUGUGUGUGAUUGGUUGACACGGGUGGGAUAUAAUUCACUUGGGCAUGUACAGGUGUGGGUGAUUUUCUUUUAGCCCUCCCUAUUUAAUAGUGUCUUACCAAUCACAUAGAUGCUGUGUAACUGAUUGUUUGCGUGCAGGUGCGAGAAGCAGUGCUGCCCCGAAUGCGUUGUUGAACUUCUAUCUGAUCUGCUGUAAUCAAGAAAAGUGCGACCCAACCUUGUCUUGGAACUGGCUGAUGAAAGUAUCCAAUGGAUUGACAGGCUACGGCAAUUCUCAGCUACCUGGGACGCAACACUGGGACUCAAGACUGAGGCCGGUCGACCUUUUAACUAGGCUUUUCCGUUUUUUGUAAUUAGAAUAAAAACAACAGACAGGUGAUUGUAA